CGGCGUACUUUUUGUAGAACGGGCCAGCGAGUUACGAUAUAUAGCAAGGUUAAGCACUUAUGGUGUGGAGCCGAAGGGAAACCGAGUCUGAUUAGGGCAACUAGUUGUAUAUUGUAGACCCGAAACCGGGUGACCUAUCCAUGGCCAGGAUGAAGCGGAAGUAAAAUUCCGUGGAGGUCCGAACCACGUUGGUGUUGAAAAACCAUGGGAUGAGCUGUGGAUAGCGGAGAAAUUCCAAUCGAACUCGGAGAUAGCUGGUUCUCCUCGAAAUAGCUUUAGGGCUAGCGUCGGGUAAUUGAGUAGUGGAGGUAGAGCACUGAAUGGGCUAGGGGCUGACAACAGUUACUGAACCCUAUCAAACUCCGAAUGCCAUAUACUUGUACCCCGGCAGUCAGACUACGAAUGAUAAGAUCCGUGGUCAAAAGGGAAACAGCCCAGACCAUCAGCUAAGGUCCCAAAGUGUAAGUUAAGUGGGAAAGGAUGUGGGAUUUCUAAGACAACUAGGAUGUUGGCUUAGAAGCAGCCACUCAUUUAAAGAGUGCGUAAUAGCUCACUAGUCGAGAGAUCCUGCGCCGAAGAUGUAACGGGGCUCAAACUUACCACCGAAGCUAUGGAUGUGUACUUUGUACACGUGGUAGAGGAGCUUUCUGUACAGGUUGAAGUCAUACCGUAAGGAGUGGUGGACAGUACAGAAGUGAGAAUGCUGGCAUAAGUAGCGAAAAACAAGUGAGAAUCUUGUUGACCGAAUAUCUAAGGUUUCCUGGGGAAGGCUCG
rnacentral:rRNA from 1 species